rnacentral:rRNA from 1 species
AACGAACGCUGGCGGCAGGCCUAACACAUGCAAGUCGAGCGCGCCCUUCGGGGUGAGCGGCGGACGGGUGAGUAACGCGUGGGAACGUGCCCUUCUCUGCGGAAUAGCCUCGGGAAACUGAGAGUAAUACCGCAUACGCCCUUUGGGGGAAAGAUUUAUCGGAGAAGGAUCGGCCCGCGUUGGAUUAGGUAGUUGGUGGGGUAAUGGCCCACCAAGCCGACGAUCCAUAGCUGGUUUGAGAGGAUGAUCAGCCACACUGGGACUGAGACACGGCCCAGACUCCUACGGGAGGCAGCAGUGGGGAAUCUUAGACAAUGGGGGCAACCCUGAUCUAGCCGUGCCGCGUGAGUGAUGAAGGCCUUAGGGUUGUAAAGCUCUUUCAGCUGGGAAGAUAAUGACGGUACCAGCAGAAGAAGCCCCGGCUAACUCCGUG